GGCUGUUCGCCAUUUAAAGUGGUACGCGAGCUGGGUUUAGAACGUCGUGAGACAGUUCGGUCCCUAUCUGCCGUGGGCGCUGGAGAACUGAGGGGGGCUGCUCCUAGUACGAGAGGACCGGAGUGGACGCAUCACUGGUGUUCGGGUUGUCAUGCCAAUGGCACUGCCCGGUAGCUAAAUGCGGAAGAGAUAAGUGCUGAAAGCAUCUAAGCACGAAACUUGCCCCGAGAUGAGUUCUCCCUGACUCCUUGAGAGUCCUGAAGGAACGUUGAAGACGACGACGUUGAUAGGCCGGGUGUGUAAGCGCAGCGAUGCGUUGAGCUAACCGGUACUAAUGAACCGUGAGGCUUAACCUUACAACGCCGAAGCUGUU
rnacentral:rRNA from 1 species